CCUACGGGUGGCAGCAGUGGGGAAUAUUGCACAAUGGGGGAAACCCUGAUGCAGCGACGCCGCGUGAGUGAAGAAGUAUUUCGGUACGUAAAGCUCUAUCAGCAGGGAAGAAAAUGACGGUACCUGACUAUGAAGCCCCGUAUAACUACGUGCCAGCAGCCGCGGUAAUACGUAGGGGGCAAGCGUUAUCCGGAUUUACUGGGUGUAAAGGGAGCGUAGACGGCAGCGCAAGUCUGGAGUGAAAUCCCAGGGCUUAACCAUGGAACUGCUUUGGAAACUGUGCAGCUGGAGUGCAGGAGAGGUAAGCGGAAUUCCUAGUGUAGCGGUGAAAUGCGUAGAUAUUAGGAGGAACACCAGUGGCGAAGGCGGCUUACUGGACUGUAACUGACGUUGAGGCUCGAAAGCGUGGGGAGCAAACAGGAUUAGAUACCCGUGUAGUC
rnacentral:rRNA from 1 species